UACGUAGGGUGCAAGCGUUGUCCGGAAUUAUUGGGCGUAAAGAGCUCGUAGGCGGUCUGUCGCGUCGGAUGUGAAAACCCAGGGCUUAACCCUGGGCCUGCAUUCGAUACGGGCAGACUAGAGUUCGGUAGGGGAGACUGGAAUUCCUGGUGUAGCGGUGAAAUGCGCAGAUAUCAGGAGGAACACCGGUGGCGAAGGCGGGUCUCUGGGCCGAUACUGACGCUGAGGAGCGAAAGCGUGGGGAGCGAACAGG
rnacentral:rRNA from 1 species